rnacentral:ribozyme from 1 species
GCUCCGCGUUUUUUUUUUUUUUUUUUUUUUUUCUU